ensembl:lncRNA
AGAAGACAGAAGGUAAGACAACUGCUAUCUGACAGAGUGUGCACAGAGUGGGAAGACAAAGCCAUGCAACGGGAGAAGAAUAAACAACAGGUUCUGGAAAUUGCUGCCAGAAACCAAAAAGCCUAUGAGGAAAGGCUGCAGAAAAUUUCUUCAAAACACCUCCAGAGACAGAAGGAGGUGGAAAAACUGGAAGUAGCUGAAGAACAAAAAUGCUUCCAGUCCAUAGUUGAAGAAAGGCACGGUCAGAAUCGGCUGAAGAUGGAACAAUUAAUGAGAGAUCGUGAAACUGCAAAGAAAAAAGUGUUUGAACGGCUGACCUGCAUACAAAGAGAACAGGCAGCAAAGAUAGCUCUAGAGCAUGACGUGAUAGCAGCAGUCAGGGCUCAAAAAAAUGCUGAUGAAGAAAGAUGGCAGAAAGAGCAAAAGAAGAAAAAUGAUGAGAUGGAAAAGGCUGCUGUCGAAUAUAAUAAAUCCAUGAUGAUCGCAAAGGAAAAAGAAAAGAUAAAAGUAGAAGAUCAGAAGAAGGAAGAAAUAAAGACGCGCUUGGAAUCAUACAAAAGGGCAGCUCAGGAAAAAAAGCAACAGGUUCUGGAAAUUGCUGCCAAAAAACAAAAAGCCUAUGAGGAAAGGCUGCAGGAAAUUUCUUCAAAACACCUUCAGAGAGAGAAGGAGGUGCAAAAACUGGAAGUAGCUGAAGAACAAAAAUGCUUCCAGUCCAUAAUUGAACAAGGGCGCCGUCAGAAUCAGCUGAAGAUGGAACAAUUAAUGAGAGAUCGUGAAACUGCAAAGAACAAAGUGUUUGAACGGCUGACCUGCAUACAAAGAGAACAGGCAGCAAAGAUCGCUCUAGAGCAUGACGUGAUAGCAGCAGUCAGGGCUCAAAAAAAUGCUGAUGAAGAAAGACGGCAGAAAGAGCAAAAGAAGAAAAAAGCUGAGAUGAAAAAGGCUGCUAUCGAAUAUAAUAAAUCCACGAUGAUCGCAAAGGAAAAAGAAAAGAUGAAAGUAGAAGAUCAGAAGAAGGAAGAAAUAAAGACACGCUUGGAAUCAGACAAAAAGGCAGACCAGGAAAAAAAGCAACAGGUUCUGGAAAUUGCUGCCAAAAAACAAAAAGCCUAUGAGGAAAGGCUGCAGGAAAUUUCCUUAAAACGCCUUCAGAGAGAGAAGGAGGUGCAAAAACUGGAAGUAGCUGAAGAACAAAAAUGCUUCCAGUCCAUAACUGAAGAAAGGCGCAGUGAGGGCAAAGGACUUAGCAGUUUUACCAGUACCAAACUGGUUCCACUGCCUCCUAUUUGCAGACCAUGUGCAAAAGACGGAUCGAGGCGUGCACUCACUGGGGAAGUUCUGGGCCACGUUUCUACUCACCGGAGACGGCUAAUAAAAAGGCGUGAAGAGUUGGAAAAUGCCCACAUGUGGCAACCUCUUACCAUCACCAAACUGGUUCCACAGCCGCCCAUUCAGAAGAAAAAACUGUAGCUGUCCUAUACUCCCUUCUUUAGAUUAGUGUUUACCAGUGACUGUUCACAUCAAGGCCAAAUCUGUGUGUUUUAAAUUUAGGUUCAGUCCAAGCUCUCUGGUGCAUCUUGAGUGAACAAUAAUAAUUUACUUACUUUUAUUUUUUGUAUAAUAAUUUAAAAAAUGUUACCAGAAAAUAAAAA